rnacentral:rRNA from 1 species
AGAGUUUGAUCCUGGCUCAGGAUGAACGCUGGCGGCAUGCCUAAUACAUGCAAGUCGAACGAGAGGAAGGAAAGCUUGCUUUCCUAAAUCUAGUGGCGAACGGGUGAGUAACACGUAGGUAACCUGCCCAUGUGCCCGGGAUAACUUCUGGAAACGGAUGCUAAAACCGGAUAGGUAGCAGACAAGCAUUUGACUGCUAUUAAAGUGGCUAAGGCCAUGAACAUGGAUGGACCUGCGGUGCAUUAGCUAGUUGGUGAGGUAACGGCCCACCAAGGCGACGAUGCAUAGCCGGCCUGAGAGGGCGGACGGCCACAUUGGGACUGAGACACGGCCCAAACUCCUACGGGAGGCAGCAGUAGGGAAUUUUCGUCAAUGGGGGGAACCCUGAACGAGCAAUGCCGCGUGAGUGAGGAAGGUCUUCGGAUCGUAAAGCUCUGUUGUAAGAGAAAAACGGCACUCAUAGGGAAUGAUGAGUGAGUGAUGGUAUCUUACCAGAAAGUCACGGCUAACUACGUGCCAGCAGCCGCGGUAAUACGUAGGUGGCGAGCGUUAUCCGGAAUUAUUGGGCGUAAAGAGGGAGCAGGCGGCACUAAGGGUCUGUGGUGAAAGAUCGAAGCUUAACUUCGGUAAGCCAUGGAAACCGUAGAGCUAGAGUGUGUGAGAGGAUCGUGGAAUUCCAUGUGUAGCGGUGAAAUGCGUAGAUAUAUGGAGGAACACCAGUGGCGAAGGCGACGAUCUGGCGCAUAACUGACGCUCAGUCCCGAAAGCGUGGGGAGCAAAUAGGAUUAGAUACCCUAGUAGUCCACGCCGUAAACGAUGAGAACUAGGUGUUGGGGGAAUAACUCAGUGCCGCAGUUAACGCAAUAAGUUCUCCGCCUGGGGAGUAUGCACGCAAGUGUGAAACUCAAAGGAAUUGACGGGGGCCCGCACAAGCGGUGGAGUAUGUGGUUUAA